UACGUAGGGUCCGAGCGUUGUCCGGAAUUAUUGGGCGUAAAGGGCCCGUAGGCGGUUUGUCGCGUCGGGCGUGAAAACUCAGGGCUCAACCCUGAGCGUGCUUCCGAUACGGGCAGACUAGAGGUAUGCAGGGGAGAACGGAAUUCCUGGUGUAGCGGUGAAAUGCGCAGAUAUCAGGAGGAACACCGAUGGCGAAGGCAGUUCUCUGGGCCGUAACUGACGCUGAGGCGCGAAAGCCAGGGGAGCAAACGGG
rnacentral:rRNA from 1 species